UCUCCUGGGAACGGGACCUUGUUUUCAUUAUUGUGCAUGCCUCUACUGACCAAUAUUCACUGCAGACUACUCCUGACGGCCCUCUUCGGCUGGAAUCUCCAUGGAACCUGUCAGGGGCGUGGAAGGGGGAGGCCCCGAAGACGAGCCUAGCAGUGGCCUUACAAUGGCUCAGCUCGUCCGCUUCUGAUCACGGCCACAAUCCAAGG